rnacentral:rRNA from 1 species
GACGAACCGUGCGAACGUUAUUCGGAAUCACUGGGCUUAAAGCGCGUGUAGGCGGGAUGGCACGUCCGGCGCUGAAAUCCCCCGGCUCAACCGGGGAACGGGCGCGGAUACGACCGCCCUCGAGGGACGUAGGGGGACCUGGAACUUCCGGUGGAGCGGUGAAAUGCGUUGAGAUCGGAAGGAACGCCCGUGGCGAAAGCGAGGUCCUGGACGUCCGCUGACGCUGAGACGCGAAAGCCAGGGGAGCGAACGGG